AUUGAACGCUGGCGGCAUGCCUUACACAUGCAAGUCGAACGGCAGCACGGGAGCAAUCCUGGUGGCGAGUGGCGAACGGGUGAGUAAUAUAUCGGAACGUGCCCAGUCGUGGGGGAUAACGCAGCGAAAGCUGUGCUAAUACCGCAUACGAUCUACGGAUGAAAGCGGGGGAUCGCAAGGCCUCGCGCGAUUGGAGCGGCCGAAAUCAGAUUAGCUAGUUGGUGAGGUAAAGGCUCACCAAGGCGACGAUCUGUAGCUGGUCUGAGAGGACGACCAGCCAAACUGGAACUGAGACACGGUCCAGACUCCUACGGGAGGCAGCAGUGGGGAAUUUUGGACAAUGGGCGAAAGCCUGAUCCAGCAAUGCCGCGUGCAGGAUGAAGGCCUUCGGGUUGUAAACUGCUUUUGUACGGAACGAAACGGUGAGCUCUAAUACAGUUUGCUAAUGACGGUACCGUAAGAAUAAGCACCGGCUAACUACGUGCCAGCCGCCGCGGUAA
rnacentral:rRNA from 1 species